UUCUAUUCACACAAUCAUCCAAUUUACAAAACAAAACUUAGCCCAUAUAAAACUAUACUUACGAGACCUAUCCAUAUAUUAAUCCCAUGUAAACUACAAAACUCUUUUCUUCGUCUUCAUUUGAUACAUUCAAGCGACGGCUAAAAUGGCAGGUCAUUGCAAUUAAAAUAGAAGAUGGAGCCACCUCCUUUGAAACCCUAAAACUCCGGCCAACCACCACCCAACCCAUCGAACCACCAUACCAUUAGAAAGCCCUCAUCACACUCUACAAUUCUCACCCACCAUCUUUAUUCAAAAUCACUAGAAUUCGCCCAAAUAUUGAGCUAAAAUGAGCUACCCACGUGCAUCAAAACUGCUGAAAUCACCUCCUCCAGCAACACCAAUGUAAUGCCCAUCAUCCCAGAUGAUUAUUCACACCAGGGCGAUCCUUUCCAUGGUCUACAACUGCCCCUAAUUCACAGAAUAGAAAUCAAUAGGCUGCCCAUUCGAAGACAGUGUAGACGCAGCUUUCAGGGCAUUUUUUCAGCAUUGGUAGUGAGACCCAUGAUCGCAGACCACCACUAUAGGCCAAAACUCAUCAUGGCACAUCUACUGGGCAUAUGGGUCUUCCUCAAUUUAGUGUUGAAAUGGUAGAUUGUUCAGAAACGGCACACGGGUAUAUUAACCGGUUUGAUCUCCUUUCAAUUGGCAACCCUCCUCAACUCCAAUAUACAAAUUGCAUCAACCAUCAUGUAAGCACUUUUGUGAAUUCUGUAGAAAAUAAUUGUGAAAGAAGUAAGAAAGAAGUUAAGAUUAAUUUUAUAUGAGAACAUUACUGGGCUGCAUCAUGUUGACAAAUAAGUAAAGAGGGAAAGUUGAAGGAAUUGUAAUUGGAAAUAGGAAUUGUGAAGGGUGGUUGCCCUGAGCAAAUAGGGUGCUAGGGAGAAAAAAUAUGAGAAAAAAGUUACAAUUUGAUUAAUAGGUUAAGGAUCAUGAUGCAAUCUCUCCUAAAUGGUAUUCAGUCAAUUUUGUCUCAUUUGAUAUUGUUUAGAAACAGACCCAAAUAUCUCUUAUGGAAAAUGGGUCUAUUUCUUGAUAAUGGAAGAAUAAUUUUUUUUUCAUUCUUGAAAACAAAAUUUUAUCUUUUUGAAAUUGAAUAAGAUUUUGAUGUAGAAUUUUAAUCCAUAAAAAAAUAGAUUUAUAUGCACAUUUAGAUUUUUAUAAUUUUAACCUUAAUUUAGGAAAUUAUAUAUAAUUAUUUAUAUUUAUGUAAUUUGUGAAUCGAAUUUGCAAGUGGACCACUUAAUUUGAGCCUCGGUCAGUUUUGUUUCUAGAUUAAGAUAUAUGAUUAUUAGCAUAUUUGGUAGAGAUUUUAAUUCAAUUAAAAUUAAUUUUUGACCGCUAUUUCACUAUUUCAACCUUCAUUUUUUAAUUCUUCUCUUACAGGCAUAGUUAUCAAACCCGGAUCGGACCGGCCGGUUCAAUCCGGAACCCGUCGAACCGGACCCAGAUCCAGUCCGAUUGUGAGGAAUUUAUGGAUGAAAAAUCAGCCCGUCAACAACCCGCUAGAAUCGCCGGUUUUACAUAGAACCGGGGUACCGACUUUUUAUUGACCCGACCGGUUCUUAAGUAACCGUGUUUCACUUUCCUUUCCUCACAGAUUCCUUCCAGUUUUCUUCCCCACUCCGUCUCCUCACAAUUUCUAACUUCUAAGACAUUAGGGAUUCUUGCAAAAUUAAAAACCUCAGCCGCCGUCUCAAUCUCUUGCAAUUCAACAACUCCCAAGAAUCAAAAUCUCCAAUUUCAAGUUUUAAAAGAUGGAAGAGCAGGUUGGUCUCUGUCAGAUGAACCCUUUUUUUCGUAAUAUGAAUUAUAAAACAAAAAGAUGUGGAAUUUUGUCCUGGGUAUGAUGGCAUAUGAAUUAUAGAACAAAAAAAAAUGUGUAAUUUCGUAUUCAACAAUGUAUUGGAGCCACCCCAGUAGUUUUUUAAUUUUUUAAUUUUAUUAAAUUUAUCGAUUUAGAGGGGGCAUUUAUAAUAUUAUAUGAAAAAAGUUGUUGGCUUCAUCUAGCCAUUGCUGUAGUAUUUGAUUCAGGUGGUGUAUUUAUUCAUUUCUAGCUGGUGUAUAUCCUCACUUGGGUAGACAUUUGAUUCAGACGGCAAGCUUGUGUAUAUCCACAAUUGCUUCUUGAUGUUAUGGUUAAAAAAUACCUAAUGUAUGCUUUACUCGAAUAAAGACCAGACUCUGUUUAGUGUUUAGUUUUUCUUCAUGUUUGGAUUAUUACCCAGUUAACGUCCGAGUAUUUUUGCGUUACUGGUUGCUGAAAAAUGGAUGAUAAUGGUGGUUUUAAUUUAUUUUUUAGAUGACCU
rnacentral:lncRNA from 1 species